AGGAAGAUGAAGGUGGGAUUAUAGAAUGUAUGCAGCUGUAGUCUGGGAGGUCUGAUGUUAGGGAAAAAGAAGGAGGAAAGCAAGAUUAAAAAUCAUUCCUGGAAAUGCAAGAGAAAAUGUGCUGGAGUGGUGCUGUUAGUACCAGGGACACUGGACAAGAAAGAUAAGCAAGCCACUGCUGUCUGAUUCCUACAUAGCAGACCUUACUUCUGCUUCACUCAAGAUUGUUUUUCAGACCCCUAAUUCCAGCAGCCAGUUUGAAGACCCCCACAGAAGAGUGAGAUCAGCAGAAUACACCUCAUUCAUCUCCCUAUUCCAUGACUUCACUGUGCACUCUGGGACCAAUCAACAAUCUCCACACUUCAGUUCACUCCAAAACCCUUAAAAAUUUUAUCCUCAAAUUCUUCAGGGAGAUGGAUUUGAGGCUUCUUCCCAUCUCCUUGUUCAGUGACCCUACAAUUGAAUCUCUUUCUCUGCGCCAGCUCAGCAUCUUGGUGUAUUGACUUGCUGUUAAAGUGUUGGAUUCAUAAUUCUCACUUCAGGAAGACUGAAAACCAGACUUUAUUCUGCUAGAUCCCAAGAUAUCAAGGAAGAGGAAAAGGGAAGAGCCCCAGGCACUAUUAAACCACAGCUACAAUCACUGCCAUUUGAAACUUCCCACCAAACAACUUUACUAUUCUGAUUUAAUUUCAACUCCCAGGGAGAGUUAGUAUUAAGAGGAAGUACCUAUCAUCCAUGAUAAUCCACCAGCUCUGGGGGUUUAGAAGGGAAAGGAUGGAGGUCUCAGUGCUUGAGGCUAGGCUGACAGCUGAGCAGGGCUCCAGCUCACCUUAAUCUCACUCCUGUGGAUGCCUGCACUAGGGGCCUGAGCAUUCUCCCAGAUCUCUGCAUAGGAGGCUGCCCUUAGGCAUUAUUAAGGUGUGAAAGCAGCAAGAAAGAGCAGAAUUAAACUGCUUUUCUCUAAUGUAUCCUUUUACAGCCCAGUGUAUUUUGCCCUAGGCUAGCCUUUUCUUCUCCUUUCACCCUCCACAUGCCAGUCCGAGACAGCCUUUCUUCUCACAGGAAUUAUUGUAUUAUUUCUUAAAUUCUUUUUUUCUUCUCCAUGGCUUUUCUAGAGGAAACCUAACAGUGUGGGUUUAUCAAUCAUUUUGACAAGACUCUGAAUUCCACUGAACAGAUUUUUGAAUAAAAAUUAUGAACAAAGAAA
ensembl:lncRNA LINC01490 long intergenic non-protein coding RNA 1490